UCAGAUUCAGAUGAGAGUGUC
rnacentral:siRNA from 1 species